AUUGAACGCUGGCGGCAGGCUUAACACAUGCAAGUCGAGCGGGGUGAUGGUGCUUGCACUAUCACUUAGCGGCGGACGGGUGAGUAAUGCUUAGGAAUCUGCCUAUUAGUGGGGGACAACAUCUCGAAAGGGAUGCUAAUACCGCAUACGUCCCACGGGAGAAAGCAGGGGAUCACUUGUGACCUUGCGCUAAUAGAUGAGCCUAAGUCGGAUUAGCUAGUUGGUGGGGUAAAGGCCUACCAAGGCGACGAUCUGUAGCGGGUCUGAGAGGAUGAUCCGCCAGACUGGGACUGAGACACGGCCCAGACUCCUACGGGAGGCAGCAGUGGGGAAUAUUGGACAAUGGGGGGAACCCUGAUCCAGCCAUGCCGCGUGUGUGAAGAAGGCCUUAUGGUUGUAAAGCACUUUAAGCGAGGAGGAGGCUCUUUUGGUUAAUACCCAAGAUGAGUGGACGUUACUCGCAGAAUAAGCACCGGCUAACUCUGUGCCAGCCGCCGCUGUAA
rnacentral:rRNA from 1 species